rnacentral:rRNA from 1 species
CCUACGGGUGGCAGCAGUGAGGAAUAUUGGUCAAUGGGCGCGAGCCUGAACCAGCCAAGUCGCGUGAGGGAAGACGGUCCUAUGGAUUGUAAACCUCUUUUGUCGGGGAGCAAAAGGCGCCACUCGUGGCGUUCCGAGAGUACCCGAAGAAAAAGCAGCGGCUAACUCCGUGCCAACAGCAGCGGUAAUACGGAGGAUGCGAGCGUUACCCGUAUUUAUUGGGUUUAACAGGUGCGUAGGCGGUUUGAUAAGUUAGAGGUGAAAUACCGGUACUCAACACCGGAACUGCCUCUAAUACUGUUGAACUAGAGAGUAGUUGCGGUAGGCGGAAUGUAUGGUGUAGCGGUGAAAUGCUUAGAGAUCAUACAGAACACCGAUUGCGAAGGCAGCUUACCAAACUAUAUCUGACGUUGAGGCACGAAAGCGUGGGUAGCAAACAGGAUUAGAUACCCUGGUAGUC